rnacentral:lncRNA from 1 species
AAAACUUUAUGUAAUAAUCUUAUUAUUUCAAUAAAAAGGUAGUCAUCUCCUAUUUUUUCCUUCAGCUUUUUUUUUUUUUCAUUUUAUGUAAAUUUGGGUGUUCCAAAAAUGAAACAAAAAUGUGUUUAGACAACAUAAGCUUAUGUUGAUGAUUGAGAAUAGAAGGAACUCGCGCCGAUUUGUAAUGUAUUCACGAAAUGUUGCUUGCACGUCUCAAUAAAUCCAUUUUUUUUUUAAAUAUAUCAAUUGAUUUAUAGUUGGUGCAACGGGUUAUGCAGUCAAUGAAUACAGAUGUUAUUCACGUUCGCAAGCAUUAGAUUAACUUUGUUAAUGACUCUGGAAUGUAUUAAGAAAUCUAAAAUUGUUUGAUGAUAUACGUUUAUCUAAAAGGAAUUAAGGAAAGGGUCAAGUUUGGCGGUUGAAUAGCUCGGGAUCAACGGCCAUGUCAAAGUUAAUUAAUAAACCCAAGCAUAUUCUGCUGAUCACAAUUAAUGGAAGGGAUCGAUUGGCUAUCACACUACCCCGCAGUUGACAUUGAAGUUUGUCAUUGAAGUAUGUCUUCUUCAAACAUUCCCGCGGAAGGUUGCGUGUCAAUAUUUGACCACUAUGAAAUUGCCGCAUAUUCAUCGACUACUUCACAUCUCAUUAUUGAAUGUUGCAACUUAUAGGAUGGUUGCAUAGGAUGAGUAGAGUAUUUUUCGGAGGUCAUAAUUUAGUUACAUGUGUCCAUUUUGGGGGGUCAUAAUUGAGAUAUUCUAUUUCUUUUGUUAUUGUUUAGCUGUUUGAAAUUAUUUUUUUAUUUUUCCUGUUACUUCCAAAAUUUUAUUUUUAUUUUUUUUAGAUGUUAGAUUUAGGCGUCGUUUGUUUUGUUGUCCUUAUUUUGAUUAUAAGAAUUUUAUUAUAAAAUAAUAUUUUAGAUUUACUUAUUUUAGUAAAUUCGUGAUAUUUAGAGUUAUUAUCAAAGGGCCCCAAAACCCCUAAUUUUGUCCAUUCACACUUUUGCAAUAAAAUUUUCAUUAUUUUGAAACCUAGUUUCUUUUUCAAUCCAACUUUUAUGUAUCAUCAACUUAAGUUUUAAAUUGCUUUUGAUUCAUUAGGAAGGAAAUCAACUUUCUAUUAUUAAUCUAUUAAAUGAAUUUUGUGUUUAACAUAUACACUCUUAAACAAUAAGGUG